rnacentral:rRNA from 1 species
UGCGUAGGUGGCAGAACAAGUCUGGAGUAAAAGGUAUGGGCUCAACCCGUACUGGCUCUGGAAACUGUUCAGCUAGAGAACAGAAGAGGACGGCGGAACUCCAUGUGUAGCGGUAAAAUGCGUAGAUAUAUGGAAGAACACCGGUGGCGAAGGCGGCCGUCUGGUCUGUUGCUGACACUGAAGCACGAAAGCGUGGGGAGCAAAUAGGAUUAGAUACCCUAGUAGUCCACGCCGUAAACGAUGAGAACUAGGUGUUGGGGGAAUAACUCAGUGCCGCAGUUAACGCAAUAAGUUCUCCGCCUGGGGAGU